rnacentral:tRNA from 1 species
GUGGCUAUAGUUUAAUGGUAAAACAGUGGGUUGUGGUCCCACGGUCGAGAGUUCGAUUCUCUCUAGCCACCCCA